CAAAGCCCUAAACCCUUCUUUCCUGCAGCUCUUCAACUGGAAGUCGAGUCUUCCGUUUUUCACCCACACCGUCCCCUCGGCGAUGGCUUCAGGCUGCAGCAGAAUUGCGCAAAGGACAUUUCUUGCAUCCGCUAAAUCUGCCAUUAAAUCCAAUCUUCGUACUCCUUCAUCCAAAUCAGCCGCCACUCCGGCUAGUCCUAUCAAAUCAACCACUUCUACUUUUCGCAAAUCCUCCUUGACCAGGAUUGCGCCGGAGCUGGGAUGCCUGCAGUCAAUGUUGCCGCUACACAGUGCGGUUGCAGCGGCAAGAAUGACGUCGUGCCUGAGCAUAACUUCCAGGAGUUGCCGAGCUCUUUCUCAGGGUACACUCUGCUGCACCUCUCCCGGCCUCUAGUACUUUCUUUUUCAAAAUUAUUAGCAAUUGCACAUAGUUAAUUGGGAAUCUGCGGGACCUACCAAUUAUGGCCUACUGCUUCAUUAUCAAAUGGAAUUGAUGGGACGUGAGACAUGCAUGCACUUUUGAAGAGCUUGGAUUGUCAGUUCCAAGGUGACCUGCCAAGAGAGAGUUGAUAUAAUUAACACAUCUGAAGGCUUUUUUGUUUUGGAUGAUUUUUCGGGAUCCAGCGAGCAGCUGUACUGUGAUUCUUUUAAGCUCAUAAAUUAGUAUCAUGAUGAAUAAUGUUUAGUCUCCCCAUUUUUAUGAAAUUAUGUCACUCAUAAUUACUAAAUGAAAUUCAGACCAUCUGCACCUA